UACGUAGGGGGCUAGCGUUAUCCGGAAUUACUGGGCGUAAAGGGUGCGUAGGUGGUUUCUUAAGUCAGAGGUGAAAGGCUACGGCUCAACCGUAGUAAGCCUUUGAAACUGGGGAACUUGAGUGCAGGAGAGGAGAGUGGAAUUCCUAGUGUAGCGGUGAAAUGCGUAGAUAUUAGGAGGAACACCAGUUGCAAAGGCGGCUCUCUGGACUGUAACUGACACUGAGGCACGAAAGCGUGGGGAGCAAACAGG
rnacentral:rRNA from 1 species